rnacentral:rRNA from 1 species
UACGAACCGUGCGAACGUUGUUCGGAAUCACUGGGCUUAAAGGGCGCGUAGGCGGGCUGCCAAGUCCGGGGUGAAAUCUUUCGGCUCAACCGGAAAAGUGCCUUGGAUACUGGCGGCCUUGAGGGAGGUAGGGGUAUGUGGAACUUCCGGUGGAGCGGUGAAAUGCGUUGAUAUCGGAAGGAACGCCGGUGGCGAAAGCGACGUACUGGACCUCUUCUGACGCUGAGGCGCGAAAGCUAGGGGAGCGAACGGG